rnacentral:rRNA from 1 species
UACGUAGGUGGCAAGCGUUGUCCGGAUUUACUGGGCGUAAAGAGCGCGCAGGCGGUCGUCCAAGUCGCGUGUGAAAGCCCCCGGCUCAACUGGGGAGGGUCACGCGAUACUGGUCGACUCGAAGGCAGGAGAGGGUAGUGGAAUUCCCGGUGUAGUGGUGAAAUGCGUAGAUAUCGGGAGGAACACCAGUGGCGAAGGCGACUACCUGCCUGUUCUUGACGCUGAGGCGCGAAAGCUAGGGAGCAACGGG